rnacentral:rRNA from 1 species
GACGAACGCUGGCGGCAUGCCUAACACAUGCAAGUCUAGGGGUAGCAAUACCACUGGCGCACGGGUGAGUAACACGUAGGUUAUCUGCCCCCAUCACAGACAUAACCCCGGGAAACCGGGGCUAAUAUCUGAUGAGGUCGCGAGAUCAAAGCUUCGGCGGAUGGGGAUGAGCCUGCGGCUGAUUAGCUAGUUGGCGAGGUAAUGGCUCACCAAGGCGACGAUCAGUAGCUGGUCUGAGAGGACGAACAGCCACACUGGAACUGAGACACGGUCCAGACUCCUACGGGAGGCAGCAGUGAGGAAUAUUGGUCAAUGGGAGCAAUCCUGAACCAGCAAUGCCGCGUGUGGGAUGACAGGGCUUCGCCUUGUAAACCACUGUCGGACGGGACGAAAGGAGGCCUCGGGCCUCUGGGACGGUACCGUCAAAGGAAGGGUCGGCUAACACGUGCCAGCAGCCGCGGUAA